CAGUUUCAGAACUUAGCAUGGGACAUAGUCAGUGUUUGAAGUGCCAACUUCAUCAAGUAAUGCAUGCUUUAUUAUAAAUAAAAUUCUAGCUUUGAAAGGCGUUCUUAUGUGUUGAACAGUAUGCUUCCGGAGUAAAUUUAAAAUAGUCUCUUGAAGCUCUAGUUAUGGAAGUAACUUUUAUUUUUUAAUUAACAUUCUCUUAUUAAUGCCCUAUCCAUCGUCAAAGGAUUAUGACUUGUGUGUAAAAACAUUUAAAACAAACAACAGCAACAACAACAACAAAAAUGUAAUGGCAAUCUUGCUAGUUGUGCUACCUAACAGUACCAUCUUGGAUCCUUCAAAACCAAAGACUUGCCCCAGCACUGCUGUGGAACCACCUGGUUGAUGACUCCUACUGAUUAUCUUUAGGAAAAGCAGGCCUUUAUUUUUAAACAGGCUUUAAUGAACUAUACCUGUUAAGUUCCAAAGGUCAAAAUGGAGACAUUUGGUGUCUAAGAGUCCAACAUAGAAAGGGAGCUGCUUUUAAAGAAUUCCCUGCAAACAAUGAAGCAGUCAUGUGAAUGGAGGGUGCUCUUGUGUAGCUGGUCAGGGACUUUUUUUUCUUUUCUCCUGAACUACAUGAUUCUAAUUGGAAUGUUCAUUUGCCUAUUUUUAUUCUUUCAAAUGCUUGUAGGUGGUUUGGAGUGUGCUAUUGUGCUGUUCCUACUCAGUAAACAGGUGUGAUCAGUUAACAAGAAAUAACACUGUUUGAAAACUAGCUUUGAAUAAUGAUUUUUCCCUUUGUACAUGACCUGCUGAAUUUCGGUACAGUGUUUUUGUAGCUAACUUAUUUUGUCAUGCACAUAAUGUAUAUUUGUUAUGCACUACUUUUGUAUAUCUUGUUUUUCCAACAGUGAACAUUUUUAGGCACACUUUUCACUGACGGGAUAUCUCUUUAUGCAAUACCUCAAUUUUUCAUAUUGCAAAGAGUAGCUUUUUGUACUUUUAUUACUGAGAGAUCUUCAUAUACUUCAUUUUUUAAUAUAAAUAAUUUUAAUAAAUUUUAUUUUCUUAUAUUCUGCUUUUUAUACAUUUCAGUGCUCUGCAUACAUUUUAAAUUAUGAAUGUUGUGCACUGGCAAUGCUAUUUUAGAGUCUGCAGAGAAGAGAAAGCAUGUUGCUUAAACAUCCUUCCCCAGCACCAGCUAUUGGUGUACCUAUAAUUUAAGAAAUAGUCUAUAUGAAGUCACAAAUUAAUGAAAAAAAAUUGCAUGAAAAUGACAGAUAACACUGUAGUUCCUAAAAAAAUUAAAUGCAUAAAUAUAGGGUAGAAAUUUAAAAUAACAAAAUUGUCUACAGCUUCUUACUAAGUUUUUAAAAUUAUUCAUAAAAUGCAGACAUUUUUGGUGAAUGUUUAGCCAUUUUUAAUCUUAAUAAAUUGAUGUUAAGUGUUUGAUUCAGAGAUGUCUGCUCUUUUAAAUUAUAUAUAAGAAAAAAAUAGCCUGCCGUGGGACAGGUGUGUAAUGUUAGUAUGCAUGACUAAUGUAAGAAAUUGUUAUUCUACUAAUAUUUACUUGUGAUUGUGUGACAAGCGUGUUUACAGAUUAUUUGGUUAUACUUCAAUUUACAGGGCAUACACAGUGAUUAUCUAUUACUCUGAACUUUAUUGAUUACAUGUCCUUCAGAUUACAUGGGAUUGUAGUUGGGAGUUACCAUGUAACUCAAACAUAAUUAACAUGUAAUUAGUUUACAGAUUUUAGGGUAUCACUUCAAUUUACCAAGCAUGUAGUUCUAGCGUACUAGCAUGGCACCAGCCAUGUACUUACAAUGUAGUUACAGAGUAAUUACAUGGUUAUUUUUGCAAUGUAAAAUAAAGUGUUUCUGAUUAUUUUCUAUGUAAAGGAACCCUCUCCCUCCCCCUUCUUGUCCUCAUGCUUUGGUAUAAUAUAUAUACUUCUCCAUACACAGACCUCUGCAGAAUGCAAAAUAAAACUUGCAGUGAAUGAAUUUAGCAUUUUAUGAGAGUGCUGUUGGAAAGACUUGAUAAUUCACCCCUUUUGUUUUGAAGAGUUGAAUCUUCUGUUAAAAGGUGAUUUAAAACUUGAAUGUGAUGAAUUGUGGCAAGUUAACUUCAAGUUAUGUGCAAUACUUAUUUCAAACUUUUGAAAGAUCUUUGCAGUGUAAUUCUUUGUUUUUAAUUGCAGACAUUUAAAAUGUCAUUUUCUACUGUUAAGAGUAAUCCUCUUUCUUGCUGGUGUUUCUAAAGAAAAGAAUCAGAAAUCAAUCUUUCUACUAAUGUAAAUUUGAGAUUAUUUUUAAAAAAUGGAAUAAAAGGUUUUGGCCAUUUGCUUUAUUUUAUUAUCUUAUUUUAAAGCUACUGUGAUUGAUAGC
ensembl:lncRNA